rnacentral:misc_RNA from 1 species
CACGUCAGAGUUUUGACCACAACUCUUCUCCGAAUUUAUUACAACAGUCAUAUGCAUCAAUUACAUUACUACCAUUUUCAUGAUCAAGGUAAUGUCAAGUAAAAAGAGGAAAAGGACAAAACUCGAAUGCUUAACUUUUGGUAGCACAUUCGACCACGAUUAUAAAAGAAAACGUGAAAUAAAUGUACACGGUGGUAACAGAAUAAACGUGAAACAUUUUGGCGCUCCCGACAAUCCGUUUGUAGUAGCAUCUGCAGUGUUUAAAAAAAGUGUACAGUCCGAGGUACAGCCACCACCAAAUAUUGAGGAGGUCAAAGGCAAUUUUUCUAACCUAUCUUUAAAAUUAGAAACUAUACCUAUACAACUGAUAUCUUCACAUGUAUCAAAUACUAUAAGUGAAUUACAUUUUUUAAACUAUGAAUUUUUACAAAAAUUAAUAUUAUAUUAUUUAAAAAAAAUAUUAAAUAUUGAUGGAUAAUCAAGACAUUGAACUAAUUGAACUAGGAAAAUGCAUGGAAUCUAGUAUCGAAUAACCAGAAAAAGGUAAUGUUAUAGAUCAGGGUUGGCAAACCUUUUGAACAAUGCAUGCCCAAAAUUACCUUUUUUUUUUUUAUAUAUAUAUAUAAAGCGUUCCAUGAAAAAAAUAUUAAAAAUAUUAU